rnacentral:misc_RNA from 1 species
AAUUAAUGCUAGCGUCAUUAGCUGCCGACCAACGCAUGAAGAAGAAAAAUUGAUCACAAAAUUGACAUUACAAAGAAAACGAGCUGUUUUGUCAAUUUUAUGACAAAAAUAUAUAUAUAAAAUAUUGGAUAAAUUGAUGGGUAUUUAUUUGCAUAAUUUUUUUAUAAGUUGUUUUUCUUUAAUAAAUUUAGAAAGUGUAUAACAGUGAUUUAAUCUUUAAUGGUAUGGUUAUACUUAACUAAUUCAUCCUACUACCUCCUUUCAUAUAAAUUAAUUUUAUUCAUCCUUCUACAUCCAAGUUCUUGACUUACCAGCCUGAGCUAUCCUCUCAGGUUUUCUCUGUGGGAAUAUCAGCUUGUAGAUUGAAUUGUCUUGUGAGCAGUUCUUGUGCCGCUUCAACGCCUUGGAACUGGGUUGUGUUACUUGAAAACAUCA